rnacentral:rRNA from 1 species
CCUACGGGAGGCAGCAGUAGGGAAUCUUCCACAAUGGGCGAAAGCCUGAUGGAGCAACGCCGCGUGAGUGAUGAAGGCCUUCGGGUUGUAAAACUCUGUCAUUCGGGACGAACCGGAGUCUGAGGAAAUGCAGACUCUCUGACGGUACCGGAGGAGGAAGCCCCGGCUAACUACGUGCCAGCAGCCGCGGUAAUACGUAGGGGGCAAGCGUUGUCCGGAUUCACUGGGCGUAAAGCGCGCGCAGGCGGUGAUGUAAGUCUGAGGUGAAAACCCGAAGCUCAACUUCGGGACUGCCUUGGAUACUGCGUCACUUGAGGAUAGGAGAGGCAAGGGGAAUUCCACGUGUAGCGGUGAAAUGCGUAGAGAUGUGGAGGAACACCUGUGGCGAAGGCGCCUUGCUGGCCUAUUUCUGACGCUGAGGCGCGAAAGCGUGGGGAGCAAACAGGAUUAGAUACCCUGGUAGUCCACGCUGUAAACGAUGAGUGCUAGGUGUAGGUGGGCUCAUACCCAUCUGUGCCGAAGCUAACGCAUUAAGCACUCCGCCUGGGGAGUACGGUCGCAAGCUGAAACUCAAAGGAAUUGACGG